GAUGAACGCUGGCGGCGUGCCUAACACAUGCAAGUCGAGCGAACCCUUCGGGGUGAGCGGCGGACGGGUGAGUAACGCGUGGGUAACCUGCCCUGUACACACGGAUAACAUACCGAAAGGUAUGCUAAUACGAGAUAAUAUAUUUUAAUCGCAUGGUUAAGAUAUCAAAGCUCCGGCGGUACAGGAUGGACCCGCGUCUGAUUAGCUAGUUGGUGAGGUAAUGGCUCACCAAGGCGACGAUCAGUAGCCGACCUGUGAGGGUGAUCGGCCACACUGGAACUGAGAGACGGUCCGGACUCCUGCGGGAGGCAGCAGUGGGAACAUUGCACAAGGGGCGAAAGCCUGAUGCAGCAACGCCGCGUGAGCGAUGAAGGCCUUCGGGUCGUAAAGCUCUGUCCUCAAGGAAGAUAAUGACGGUACUUGAGGAGGAAGCCCCGGCUAACUACGUGCCAGCCGCCGCGGUAA
rnacentral:rRNA from 1 species